rnacentral:misc_RNA from 1 species
GAUGAAGAACGUAGCGAAAUGCGAUAAGUAAUGUGAAUUGCAGAAUUCAGUGAAUCAUCGAAUCUUUGAACGCACAUUGCGCCCGCCAGUAUUCUGGCGGGCAUGCCUGUUCGUGCGUCAUUUCAACCAUCAAGCCCCAGGCUUGUGUUGGGGACCUGCGGCUGCCGCAGGCCCUGAAAACCAGUGGCGGGCUCGCUGUCACACCGGGCGUAGUAGAUUUUAUCUCGCUCAGGGCGUGCUGCGGGUUCCGGCCGUUAAAAAGCCUUUUUUACCCAAGGUUGACCUCGGAUCAGGUAGGAAGACCCGCUGAACUUAAGCAUAUCAUAAGCGGAGGA